AACAAAAGAGAUCCUGAUUGCAGCAAGAAAUGAAGUGAAGAAGGUGGAAGUCAGGGUUAUGCAGCAGUUUGGUUCAAGCCUGAGCCACGCUGACAGUGUGCUCCAGCCUGUGAAUCUCCAUCCCCAGAGGAAUACUCACUGUGAUGUGAUAGGCUAUGGUGGACUCCUUCUGACUUGGUGAUUUGUACAACGUGGCCAGCCUGGUAAAACAAACCCCAGUUCUGUUCAGGAAAGAAGAUGGCUCAUCCCAUCCCUCCCCCAUUUCCAUGCCCAGUCCAGCUUGGACGUAUAAAAGGAGACUCCCUGGAAGCUCAGCUGCAUGAGUAUGUCAGGGAAGGGAACUAUGUGAAAGUGAAGAAGCUUCUGAAAAAAGGAAUUUUUGUUGAUGCUGUGAAUUCCAUGGGCCAAACCUGUCUCUUCACUGCUGCACUGCUGGGCCUGGGUAAAAUAGUGGAUGUGCUGCUGGAAUAUGGCUCAGAUGCCAAUCAUCGCUGCUAUGAUGGCAGCACCCCAGUGCAUGCAGCUGCUUUUUCUGGAAACCAGUGGAUCCUCAGCAAGUUACUGGAUGAGGGAGGGGAUCUCCGAGUCCACGACAAAGAGGGGAAAACUCCCCAGGUCUGGGCUUUGUCAGCCAGCAAGGAGAGCAGUGCUCAGAUGUUGGAAUUUAUCCAGCAGUGCUCACUGCACAUGCAGGCUGCCAUUUGGAAUCUUCCCUCUGAUCUGCUCAGGAAAGUUGGCUCCUCAAAGGCCUUGAUCUGCAGCCCCUCGAGGUUUGGUGGCCUUGUCCAAGGAAAUGCUGAGAUUCCUCUGGGUAAAUUACUGAAAGGACAACCCAGUGUGGCCAAGAACAUUUACAGCUUUGGUUUUGGGAAGUUCUAUCUCACAGGCAGUGGCCACCUGGGCUACCUGGCCUCUCUCCCAAUUAUUGGGGAGAAAGAUGUGGUUCAGGCUGAUGAUGAAAAAGCAUUUUCAUACCCUGUGGGGCCCUACAUGACCAUGAGCAACUUGGUGUGGGGAGGCAGCAGAGUGACAGUGAAGGAGCUGAGCCUCCAGACCCAGCAGGGCAGAGGGAAUCUGCGCCUGGCUGAUCUCCUGCUGGCAGAGCAGCAGCACAGCAGCAAACUCCGGCACCCUCACCUGCUGCAGCUGAUGGCUGUUUGUCUGUCCUGUGACCUGGAGAAAACUCGUUUGGUCUAUGAGAGGGUUCACUUUGGCUCUCUCUACAGCAUCCUCCAUGAAAGGCGUGCAGAGUUCCCAGUGCUGCAGACAGAGACCAUCCUGCACGUUCUGCUCCAGGUCGUCGACGCCCUGCGCUUCCUGCACUCCCGGGGCUUUGUGCACCGCUCCCUCUCCUCCUAUGCCAUCCAGAUCGUGUCCUCUGGGGAGGCCAAGCUCUGCAACCUGGAGUACAUGAUAGAGAGCAAGGACAGUGGAGAGCACAGUGAUCUGACCCGGAUUCCUGUCCCAGUCCAGCUGUUCCGCUGGUGUUCCCCUGAAAUAAUCCUGGAGAAACCUGGGACAGUCAAAUCAGAUCUUUACAGCUUCUGUGCAGUGCUGCAGGAGACCCUGACAGAGAGCCCUCCCUGGAAAGAUGUGGAAGACUCAGCCAUUAAACAGCUCAUCCUUUCAGGGGAGCAGCUGGCAGCAGAUGCCAGGCUCCCCCUGAUCUAUUAUGAUGUUGUCAAGUCAGGGCUGGAACCCAAACAGAAGAACCGCUCCAUGAAGCUUCAGGAUAUUCAGUAUAUCCUGAAAAAGGACUUAAAGGACUUGGUUAAAUCUGAAGGUGGAAUACUCAAAGCACAGAGAUCUGCUGUUCUUGCAGAUGUGAACAUCUGCUGGGCAUCAGCUUUUAGCUUCAAGAAGAGGACAGUGGAGAUCCAGGAAAAAGAGAUAAGCAAGGCUGGUGGCUUUUCUGCCCCCCAAGACCCUGUUUUCCCCAGGGAGAGCAGUGCUUUGGUGGUGGAGGAGGCAGCAGCCAGCGCAGAGCCAGCUGCACAGGACCAAAGUCUUGAUGUCUCCUCUGAGCUCCAGACAGGGGCUUCCCACUCCAGUGAGAGUGAUGUGGAUGGCAGCCUGUGCAGCUUUGAGAUGAAUGAAAUCCUAGCCAGUUAUCCAGAAGGGCCCCAAGACUUCCUGGAAGGAGGGCCUGGAUUAGGCCAAGCUCUGAAGGAUGCAGGAAGGCAGCAACAGGAAGAUGAGAGCCCAUGGGAGGGUGAGGAGGAGGGGGAAUCCUUGGGGUCCAGCACUGGGUUCUCUGGAGAGCAGGAGGAGCUGGAAGAAGAGGAGGAUGAAGAAGUGGAGGAGGAAGAAGAGGAGAGGGUGAGAGAAGCCUCUGCCCUGUGCCAGGUGAGAGGAGAUGCUGGCAGGAGGCUGAGCAGCCCUUCCCAGAGCGAGCAGCACAUCAGCAAAUGCGCCCUGAACCUCAAGAUCAUGCAGAGCAUGCUGCAGCAGGCAGGAGAUUCCCUGAGCAGGGCAGAGGAGAAGCUGGACAGGCUGAAGGCCAUGGGAGAGCAGAAAAAGCUGCUCCAGGAAAUGAGGAUGAAUCUGCUUCCUAAGGAGAGUUCUAAAGGAAGACUCUGGAAUGGGUCUGAUGCUCCUUCCCAAAAUACUGAUAAGGCUUUUUCUGGACUUGAUGUUUUUUUACACAAGGCUGUAGCUCCACCAUCCAGGGACUACAUCCCACCAUCAGUAACAUGCCAAGCAGCAGGUAGAGACAGCUUCCAGGCUGCUCCCAAGACAGCCAAGGAAAGAGAGGCAAUUCAAAAUGAGAGGUGGAAGAGCAAAAUUGGAACCAACCAUCGUGAUCCGGGCUGCAGAGGCCUGGAUGAUGAAGUGAGCCUAAAGCAGGAGUUAAACCAGCAUUUCCUCCCACACGUGUCUGCGAGACGCCAAAAAAAGUUCAACUUGCGGUGUCAGAAAGGAGCUGAUUCACAUCCUGCAGCAAGGAGGGAAGAGGAGAAGUGGUGCCAUUCAAAACCAAGGGCUGAAUUCUGCAGCAAAAAAAACUGUGAGAAGAGGAGGGGGAUGCAGCUGGGAUGGAGGACUGAAGUCAAGCAGAUGGCCAGGAGAGUGGCCUCAGGACAGCUGGGGCUCAGCUGUGCUUACCCUGCCAGUGAGUGCACGUCUGAAAGUGAAGCUGAAAGUGUCAAGGAAAGCUCCCAGCAGGUCCCUGCUGGAGCCCCCAGAAGCCAGGAGCAGCAGAGGUGUGGGUGGCAGCCAGGUGAGGCUGCUGAGCCCUGGGGCCUGGGCACUGGGGACAGAGCUGAGUCUGGGGACAGCGACCUGGAGCCUGCGCUCAGGAGUUCCACAGGGAGCAGCUGCCAGUCCCCAGCACCAGAGGAGCAAGCAGAGUCUGGAACAGCCAUUCCUGAGAGUUUACUCCUUCCUCAGCCAGCUGAGAAUCUCUCCAGAGGACAUUCAAGGGAAUUACAUUGUUCCCUUAAUUCACCUCCUGAUGUGACUGAAGAAUUCUUCACUCCUGAUUAUCUGCUUCCUCCUGCUCUUGAGGAAAGGUCAGAACCAGAGACCUCAAACGCUGAGGGCAAAGCAGAAGAUAUUUGUGCAGGAUUUUUACAGAAAUUACCUGGAGAUGCAGCAUCAGGAAUUCAGGCUCCAGGAGGAAAAAUACUAUUCUGCAGCACAGCAGCACAGAGCUGUGGCAGUAACAAGCUGGGAGUGAAUCAGCUGGGCCAAAUGCCUGGAGCCAGGGUGGAUGCAGCACGAGAAGCAAUGCUGUGGGAGCCACAGGAAGAAUGCCAAGAAAAAGAUGUAUCAGUGGCAGAUAUUCAGGAUUUGUCCAGCAUCCCCUGUGAGCAGAACUUCCAGAGAGGUGUGGAGUGUAAAACACCUCGGCUGAGCCACGCUCCCACCAGUGUCAGCACCCCCCUGGGCUCAGAGGAAAAAUUUCCAUUAGCCUUUGAGAAAUACAAACACUGCCGUGAAUUUUCUUCAGAUUCUUCCUUUUGUGGCUCUCAAGAAACCUCCUCCACAGUGUUCAAAACUUUCACCACAGCCUGUGAAGGAGAGAGGAGCAUGGAAAUUCCAGUGGUGGCUCCAAAAGUUUGCCCAUUUGGACUGAAAGAGCUUGUUGUGUUGCCACCAAUUGCUUCAUCCCUGAGAAACACCAGGCAGGCACCUGCACUCUCAGAGGCAUCUCCCCCCACCAUUGAUGAGCUGCCUCCACCAGCCCAGGAGCUGCUGGAUGAAAUUGAACACUUGAAGCAGCAGGAUUCCAUCACUGCAGGCUUGGAAGGGAUGGGAUUGGAAGACACUGGAGUGCAAGUGAAUGCUCUUGAUCAAGUAAAAAUGGAAAACAGAGAGUCAGAGAAGGAGUCUGGGAGAAAUGAGAAGACAGAUCAGAGUUUAUUGACUGAGGAGUCAUUUAAUCUAGCAGAGGAUACAGAAAGGGCUCACUCCAGUCUCGAUGAUAUUUUGGAAAGAAUGCUGCAUGCAGUUCCUGGAGAUGAGGAGAUCCAAGAGCAACCUCAGGGGCACACUCUUGGGGCUGCCAGCCUGCAGGAUCCAGAAGAUGCUGGAAGAAGGAAUGGAGUAGAGGAGAGAGGAGCCUGUGCUGGAGGCAGAGCACCAGGAACUUCAGCAGGUGCUCUUUGUCUCUAGAGCUGCUGGAUGCACCCAAAGUUUGAAAUAUCCCAAAUCCCUGGUUACUUUUGGAAAUCCUGAUGACGAGCACCCCAAGGAUCAGAAAUCCCACCCCCAGCAGCAGCUGGCUCCAGCUCCACCCUUCAGGAUAAUUGUU